rnacentral:rRNA from 1 species
GAUGAACGCUGGCUACAGGCUUAACACGUGCAAGUCGAGGGGAAACGACGGGGAAGCUUGCUUCCCCGGGCGUCGACCGGCGCACGGGUGAGUAACGCGUAUCCAACCUGCCUCUGACUGAGGGAUAACCCGUCGAAAGUCGGCCUAAUACCUCAUGGUAUCGUCUGCGGGCAUCCAACGACGAUUAAAGAUUUCAUCGGUCAGGGAUGGGGAUGCGUCUGAUUAGCUUGUUGGCGGGGUAACGGCCCACCAAGGCUACGAUCAGUAGGGGUUCUGAGAGGAAGGUCCCCCACAUUGGAACUGAGACACGGUCCAAACUCCUACGGGAGGCAGCAGUGAGGAAUAUUGGUCAAUGGGCGAGAGCCUGAACCAGCCAAGUAGCGUGCAGGAAGUCGGCCCUAUGGGUUGUAAACUGCUUUUAUGCGGGGAUAAAGUGAGGGACGUGUCCCUCAUUGCAGGUACCGCAUGAAUAAGGACCGGCUAAUUCCGUG